UACGUAGGGUGCAAGCGUUAAUCGGAAUUACUGGGCGUAAAGCGUGCGCAGGCGGCUUUGCAAGACAGAUGUGAAAUCCCCGGGCUCAACUUGGGAACUGCAUUUGUGACUGCAAGGCUAGAGUACGGUAGAGGGGGAUGGAAUUCCGCGUGUAGCAGUGAAAUGCGUAGAUAUGCGGAGGAACACCGAUGGCGAAGGCAAUCCCCUGGACCUGUACUGACGCUCAUGCACGAAAGCGUGGGGAGCAAACAGG
rnacentral:rRNA from 1 species